UACAGAGGGUGCAAGCGUUGUUCGGAAUUACUGGGCGUAAAGAGCUCGUAGGCGGUUUGUUGCGUCGGCUGUGAAAUCCCGAGGCUCAACCUCGGGUCUGCAGUCGAUACGAGCAAACUAGAGUGUUGCAGGGGAGACUGGAAUUCCUGGUGUAGCGGUGAAAUGCGCAGAUAUCAGGAGGAACACCGGUGGCGAAGGCGGGUCUCUGGGCAACAACUGACGCUGAGGAGCGAAAGCGUGGGGAGCGAACAGG
rnacentral:rRNA from 1 species